rnacentral:rRNA from 1 species
GACGAACCGAGCGAACGUUGUUCGGAAUCACUGGGCUUAAAGGGCGCGUAGGCGGGUGUGUAAGUCUGCGGUGAAAUCCUCCAGCUUAACUGGAGAAGUGCCGUGGAUACUGCUCAUCUUGAGGAGGGUAGGGGCAUCUGGAACGGUCGGUGGAGCGGUGAAAUGCGUUGAUAUCGACCGGAACUCCGGUGGCGAAGGCGGCCUUCUGGACGGAUACUGACGCUGAGACGCGAAAGCGUGGGGAGCAAACAGG